rnacentral:rRNA from 1 species
GCGUGGGAAUCUACCCAAUACUACGGAAUAGCUCCGGGAAACUGGAAUUAAUACCGUAUGUGCCCUACGGGGGAAAGAUUUAUCGGUAUUGGAUGAGCCCGCGUUGGAUUAGCUAGUUGGUGAGGUAAUGGCCCACCAAGGCGACGAUCCAUAGCUGGUCUGAGAGGAUGAUCAGCCACACUGGGACUGAGACACGGCCCAGACUCCUACGGGAGGCAGCAGUGGGGAAUAUUGGACAAUGGGCGCAAGCCUGAUCCAGCAAUGCCGCGUGUGUGAAGAAGGCCCUAGGGUUGUAAAGCA